AACGAACGCUGGCGGCGCGCCUAACACAUGCAAGUCGAACGAGAAUCCGGGGCAACCCGGUAGUAAAGUGGCAAACGGGUGAGGAAUACAUGGGUAACCUACCCUUGAGAAGGGAAUAACCCGCCGAAAGGUGAGCUAAUACCCUAUACGCUAUCUUUUUUUCGAAAAGGAUAGGAAAGCCGGGUCGAGGACCUGGUACUCAAGGAGGGGCUCAUGUCCUAUCAGCUUGUUGGUGGGGUAACGGCCUACCAAGGCUACGACGGGUAGCUGGUCUGAGAGGAUGAUCAGCCACACUGGCACUGAGAUACGGGCCAGACUCCUACGGGAGGCAGCAGUGAGGAAUAUUGCGCAAUGGGCGAAAGCCUGACGCAGCCACGCCGCGUGAGCGAUGAAGGUCUUCGGAUCGUAAAGCUCUGUGGGGGGGAGAAGAAGAAAGCCGGUGAAGAGCCGGCCCUGACGGUAUCCCCCUUAGCAAGCACCGGCUAACUCCGUGCCAGCAGCCGCGGUAAAGUGACU
rnacentral:rRNA from 1 species